AUAGCUCAGUUGGUUAGAGCACAGCAUUCAUAAUGCUGGUGUCCCAGGUUCAAGUCCCGGU
rnacentral:tRNA from 1 species